UACAGGGGGUGCAAACGUUGCUCGGAAUUAUUGGGCGUAAAGCGCGCGUAGGCGGCUACUUAAGUCGGAUGUGAAAGCCCUUGGCUCAACUGAGGAAGUGCACCCGAAACUGAGUGGCUUGAGUACUAAAGAGGGUCGCGGAAUUCCAGGUGUAGCGGUGAAAUGCGUAGAUAUCUGAAGGAACAUCAGUGGCGAAAGCGACUUCCUGGACCAAUACUGACGCUCAUGUGCGAAAGCGUGGGGAGCAAACAGG
rnacentral:rRNA from 1 species